AUUCCUGCGCAGACGGCACGGCCAUUGGCGGUCAUGAGGGGGCAAAAAGGACGCGUUUCGUAUUUUCACGUGCCCCGUCGAGACAGGAAUUCCAGGUUACUCUGAAAUGCGCGCGCGCACUGAGCAGCCAUUGGCCUAAGCGCUCCCGAGGAGCCGCCAUAAUGGGACGGUCAGGGAUGGGGAAAGUACAGCGCUGCACAACCGCCAUUACAAGAAGGUCAGAGGCAAUCGGCGGCAGUUGAAGGCCGGUACUGAGAUGUGGGUGGAGGCGUGCCCCAGUGCGGGCUAAACCGCCACUGAACAAGGAGAGGGCCUCCCUCGGCUUCUCGACAUACCUAAUUGGGCUGGCGGCACCGCCAUUUGGAGAAGUUCCUAUUAACUUUGGGUAGAUGAGAGAAUGGCCAGCCUUCUGGCAGAGACCAAAAGGAGCUGCCACCCUGAGACCAUCCAGAUUCUGUUGCAGGGUGUUGUCUCCACCACCUUCUGCCCCCAGCAUCUGACUACGGAGUGAUGAGAGGGACAGCAGCUCCAGCUGUGGAAGAACGGGCAGGCUUGAACAGAAUACCCUAUUCAGAACAAAAAAGGAACUCACCUGCCUUGACUGACGUUGACAUUCUCAAUUCUGUCAGCACUCAUGGCAGUUUUGCGCUUCUGAAUACUCCCUCUCUCCUUCUCCCCGAAACUCAGGACCUGCAGCUGUUUCAUACAGUUUGGGAUGUUCAACACUUAUGGAUAGUGAGACAGUGAAUGACACAGAUGAGGUUCUACCUUCUGUUUGUUAUCCUCACAGCGCACAUGAAGCACAAACAAACUGUCACUCAAGCUGCUGACUGAGAUUCCUGCAAAACAGAAAUGCUGUUUGACUCCAACGUAUUUUGAUGCCUAGACAGUCUGAAUACUAGUGGUCCUUGUGAAGCCUGAACUGAGUACAAAGGACUCCAUCAAUUUUCCAAGCAUUUUAGAAAUUUGUCAUGAGUGUGACAAACAAGUUAUAUGGUGCCCCAACUGGAAGAGAACGAAACAGCCGCUGAUUGUUCUGUCCCUAUCUCCCAAUAAUCACUCAGAAACUAAGGCUUGGCCCAAAAUGUAAACUUACAUUAAAUAUAAAGAUAUAUUAAUGGCGUUGCUAAGUUUGAGAAUAUAAAACAAAAGUCAGGAAAUGCCAAAGUUAUCCCUGCGAAUGAGGACUUCACUGAGGACAUAUGCCCCAGAGAACGUUACAAGAGAACAGACCUGCCAUCCUCUCCUUAAGAUGGAGAUGAAAUGGAGACGGCGAAAGUCUAUAAGGUGCCACAGGAUUCUUUGUUGCUUUUACAUGAAAUGCAGACUGAAUCUAAAAGUUUUUCCUCUGAACACACCCUAAUGGGCCCACCCAGAUAACUUGAAGUAUGCAGAAAUUCUAUUGUACGUAGGUUUUUAUACUGUUUUCAUCACCAUAGUAUCUGAUCACCUUCCAGUUGUGCAUUAACAUCUCAUGUAUGAUUCAUUCUCUUCCAGGUGUAGAACUGUGUGCGGUAUAGCAUUUUGUUUUAAAAGGAUUUGGGUGUGUUUGGUUUUUAAUAAUGAUGGGGGUUAGAAGUGUUUCAGAUUAAAAUCUAAGAUGCAAACAUUUUGCAGCCUGAGAUUAGGACAUUCAAAUUAAAAUAACCUAACUUUCACUGAAGCAUACUCAGCCCUGGAAUGAUAGGGUCUUGUGGGACCCAACCCCCUGAAUUGGUGUUGCCCUUGAAAACUUUUUAUAAAUGUUGACAA